rnacentral:rRNA from 1 species
UACGGAGGGUGCAAGCGUUAAUCGGAAUUACUGGGCGUAAAGCGCGCGUAGGUGGUUUGUUAAGUUGAAUGUGAAAGCCCCGGGCUCAACCUGGGAACUGCAUCCAAAACUGGCAAGCUAGAGUACGGUAGAGGGUGGUGGAAUUUCCUGUGUAGCGGUGAAAUGCGUAGAUAUAGGAAGGAACACCAGUGGCGAAGGCGACCACCUGGACUGAUACUGACACUGAGGUGCGAAAGCGUGGGGAGCAAACAGG